rnacentral:rRNA from 1 species
UUGAUCCUGGCUCAGAACGAACGCUGGCGGCGCGUUUUAAGCAUGCAAGUCGAACGGUAACCAUCCUUCGGGAUGGCUAGAGUGGCGAACGGGUGAGUAACACGUAGGUGAUCUGCCCUUGAGUUGGGGAUAGCCCAUGGAAACAUGGGGUAAUACCGAAUACGCUCGCGACCCUGUGGGGAUGUGAGGAAAAGCGCUUCGGCGCUGCUCGAGGAUGAGCCUGCGGCUGAUUAGUUAGUUGGUGGGGUAACGGCCUACCAAGGCGACGAUCAGUAGCCGGCCUGAGAGGGUGAGCGGCCACACUGGGACUGAGAUACGGCCCAGACUCCUACGGGAGGCAGCAGCUAAGAAUCUUCUACAAUGGACGAAAGUCUGAUAGAGCGACGCCGCGUGGGUGAUGAAGGCCGGAAGGUUGUGAAGCCCUUUUCUAUUCGAGGAAUAAGGUGUGGAGGCAAUGCCACACUGAUGACGGUAGGGUAGGAAUAAGCCCCGGCCAAUUACGUGCCAGCAGCCGCGGUAACACGUAUGGGGCGAGCGUUGUUCGGAAUCAUUGGGCGUAAAGGGCGCGUAGGCGGAUAUGCAAGCUUGGUGUGAAAGACCGCAGCUCAACUGCGGGAGCGCGCUGAGAACUGCAUAUCUUGAGUUCAAGAGGGGAAGCUGGAAUUCCAGGUGUAGGGGUGAAAUCUGUAGAUAUCUGGAAGAACAUCAGUGGCGAAGGCGAGCUUCUGGCUUUGAACUGACGCUGAGGCGCGAAAGCGUGGGGAGCGAACAGGAUUAGAUACCCUGGUAGUCCAGGCUGUAAACGAUGUGCACUAGG